rnacentral:rRNA from 1 species
CCCUGUGUAUUUUAUACCUUUUGUUGCUUUGGCGGGCCGCCUUCGGCCACCGGCUCCGGCUGGUGCGUGCCCGCCAGAGGACCCCAAACUCUGAAUGUUAGUGUCGUCUGAGUACUAUAUAAUAGUUAAAACUUUCAACAACGGAUCUCUUGGUUCUGGCAUCGAUGAAGAACGCAGCGAAAUGCGAUAAGUAAUGUGAAUUGCAGAAUUCAGUGAAUCAUCGAAUCUUUGAACGCACAUUGCGCCCUCUGGUAUUCCGGAGGGCAUGCCUGUUCGAGCGUCAUUACAACCCUCAAGCUCUGCUUGGCCUUGGGCACCACCGGUAACGGUGGGCCUCAAACCCAGUGGCGGUGCCGUCUGGCUCUAAGCGUAGUAAUUAUUCUCGCUAUAGAUGCCUGGUGGAUACUUGCCAGUAACCCCCAACUUCUUAAGGUUGACCUCGGAUCAGGUAGGGAUACCCGCUGAACUUAAGCAUAUCA